CCAACUCACGGGAGAAGAAGCCGUUACGGUUUAAGAGGAACCCCCCGCAACCGCAGAUCACGACGAUCAGAAAGACGACCACCACCCCUGCAACCACCGCUGCAACGUUGACGUCCUCUGGUAGGAGGGAAUGAAGAGAGUAUGUUGCCGGUGGGAUGCUAUGCCGGUCCCUACAGUGCAGCUGCACCACUGAGCCGGUCACUGCGGAGCUGGGGAUGUCACAGGACGGGAUUUGAGGCGGCACUGAAGGAUAAGGAACCGGAAAGUAAAGCUUGAGCACACCAGCCAAGUCGAAGGGCUGACAGAGUCCAGAGGAGCGCUGAUCUCACAGCGGUACUCUCCGGCAUCUUCCUGGGUCACCUUACGAAGUUUCACCGUCGCCCCGUCAAUGGACGCUCGGCCCUCCAAGGGACCUGAGAGCAAGAAGACAAGGUCAGGAU